rnacentral:rRNA from 1 species
GACGAACGCUGGCGGCGUGCUUAAAACAUGCAAGUCGAACGAUGAACUUGGAGCUUGCUCUGGGGGAUUAGUGGCGAACGGGUGAGUAACACGUGAGUAACCUGCCCUGGACUCUGGGAUAACUUCGAGAAAUCGGAGCUAAUACCGGAUAGGACCUUGCACCGCAUGGUGUGGGGUGGAAAGUUUUUCGGUUUGGGAUGGACUCGCGGCCUAUCAGCUUGUUGGUGAGGUAAUGGCUCACCAAGGCGUCGACGGGUAGCCGGCCUGAGAGGGUGACCGGCCACACUGGGACUGAGGCACGGCCCAGACUCCUACGGGAGGCAGCAGUGGGGAAUAUUGCACAAUGGGCGCAAGCCUGAUGCAGCAACGCCGCGUGCGGGAUGACGGCCUUCGGGUUGUAAACCGCUUUUAGUAGGGAAGAAGCCUUCGGGUGACGGUACCUGCAGAAAAAGGACCGGCUAACUACGUGCCAGCCGCCGCCGUAAGAC